UUGGUGUUUCUCUUCAGGCUUUGUCCGGUCAUUGUUGGUGUUACCCCCCUGUCAGUCGUGGCUUCAGUCUCCCAGUCUCAUCCAGUGUUUUGUCUUGCUAUUUUCUGCUCUUGGUGUUUUGGAUUACCUGUGUUGGAUUUUUGUUUCGUUUCUCAUUUGGCUUUUUCUGGGCUCAGCCACUCACUAUCACUGCGGAGCCACAAUGAGUUGGCAGACUCUCUGAAAAACUUCAGAGUCAUCCAGAGGAAAAACUGCUGCGCUGCCUUUCUCCUCAAGUGAGCCCUCUGCUGUGGAUCUCUGUGGAAAGCGGCUAUAGAGAGGGUCUGAAUCCCUAAAAUGUUGUCUCUGUGCAUCGUUGCUGACUUCAGUGGUGUUGAGCUUACUGUUUGCUUAUGGCACAGUAGGCUUAUUUGUGGUACUGUAACUUGUGUCAGUGCAUUUUUAUAUAAAUAUGACACUGGUCAAAUC